UGCCAGACUCCUACGGGAGGCAGCAGUGGGGAAUAUUGCACAAUGGGGGAAACCCUGAUGCAGCGACGCCGCGUGAGGGAAGAAGGUUUUCGGAUUGUAAACCUCUGUCUUUGGUGACGAAAGAUGACGGUAGCCAAAGAGGAAGCUACGGCUAACUACGUGCCAGCAGCCGCGGUAAUACGUAGGUGGCAAGCGUUGUCCGGAAUUACUGGGUGUAAAGGGAGCGUAGGCGGGAAGACAAGUUGAAUGUUUAAACUAUCGGCUCAACCGAUAAUCGCGUUCAAAACUGUUUUUCUUGAGUGAAGUAGAGGCAGGCGGAAUUCCUAGUGUAGCGGUGAAAUGCGUAGAUAUUAGGAGGAACACCAGUGGCGAAGGCGGCCUGCUGGGCUUUAACUGACGCUGAGGCUCGAAAGCGUGGGUAGCAAACAGGAUUAGAUACCCUUGUA
rnacentral:rRNA from 1 species